rnacentral:rRNA from 1 species
AACGAACGCUGGUGGCAGGCCUAACACAUGCCAGUCGAGCGCGCCCUUCGGGGUGAGCGGCGGACGGGUGAGUAACGCGUGGGAACGUGCCCUUUUCUACGGAAUAGCCUCGGGAAACUGAGAGUAAUACCGUAUACGCCCUUUGGGGGAAAGAUUUAUCGGAAAAGGAUCGGCCCGCGUUGGAUUAGGUAGUUGGUGGGGUAAUGGCCUACCAAGCCGACGAUCCAUAGCUGGUUUGAGAGGAUGAUCAGCCACACUGGGACUGAGACACGGCCCAGACUCCUACGGGAGGCAGCAGUGGGGAAUCUUAGACAAUGGGGGCAACCCUGAUCGAGCCAUGCCGCGUGAGUGAUGAAGGCCUUAGGGUUGUAAAGCUCUUUCAGCUGGGAAGAUAAUGACGGUACCAGCAGAAGAAGCCCCGGCUAACUCCGUG